CUACGGGAGGCUGCAGCGAGGAGUAUUGCACAAUGGGGGGAACCCUGAUGCAGCAACGCCGCGUGGAGGAUGACGCAUUUCGGUGUGUAAACUCCUUUUAUAUGUCAAGAAAAUGACGGUAGCAUAUGAAUAAGCACCGGCUAACUCCGUGCCAGCAGCCGCGGUAAUACGGAGGGUGCAAGCGUUACUCGGAAUCACUGGGCGUAAAGGACGCGUAGGCGGGUUGGAAAGUCAGGUGUGAAAUCCUACAGCUUAACUGUAGAACUGCACUUGAAACUUCUAAUCUAGAGUAUGGGAGGGGGAGAUGGAAUUAGUGGUGUAGGGGUAAAAUCCGUAGAUAUCACUAGGAAUACCUAAAGCGAAGGCGAUCUCCUGGAACAUUACUGACGCUAAGGCGUGAAAGCGUGGGGAGCAAACAGGAUUAGAUACCCCGGUAGUC
rnacentral:rRNA from 1 species